rnacentral:rRNA from 1 species
AUUGAACGCUGGCGGCAUGCUUUACACAUGCAAGUCGAACGGUAACAGGCCGCAAGGUGCUGACGAGUGGCGAACGGGUGAGUAAUGCAUCGGAACGUGCCCAGUCGUGGGGGAUAACUACUCGAAAGAGUAGCUAAUACCGCAUACGAUCUAUGGAUGAAAGCGGGGGACCGUAAGGCCUCGCGCGAUUGGAGCGGCCGAUGUCAGAUUAGGGAGUUGGUGGGGUAAAGGCUCACCAAGCCAACGAUCUGUAGCUGGUCUGAGAGGACGACCAGCCACACUGGGACUGAGACACGGCCCAGACUCCUACGGGAGGCAGCAGUGGGGAAUUUUGGACAAUGGGCGCAAGCCUGAUCCAGCAAUGCCGCGUGCAGGAAGAAGGCCUUCGGGUUGUAAACUGCUUUUGUACGGAACGAAACGGCUCUGGUUAAUACCCGGGGCUAAUGACGGUACCGUAAGAAUAAGCACCGGCUAACUACGUG